GUGCAGCAGGCGAGAAACUUCCACAAUGGACGAAAGUCUGAUGGAGCGACGCCGCGUGAUUGAUGAAGUCCCUCUGGGACGUAAAGAUCUUUUAUGAGGGAAGAAGUUUAUUGACGGUACCUCAUGAAUAAGAGGCUCCUAAUCUCGUGCCAGCAGGAGCGGUAAUACGAGAGCCUCGAGCGUUAUCCGGAAUUAUUGGGCGUAAAGGGUGCGUAGGUGGUUCUGUUAGUCUUUUGUUAAAUCCUCGAGCUUAACUUGGGAAUCGCAGGGGAAACGGCAGAACUUGAAAGUGUGAGAGGCGUACGGAACUCAUGGUGUAGGGUGAAAUCCGUUGAUAUCAUGGGGAACACCAAAUGCGAAAGCAGUACGCUGGCGCAUAUUUGACACUGAAGCACGAAAGCGUGGGUAGCGAAUGGGAUUAGAUAUCCCUGUAGU
rnacentral:rRNA from 1 species